AGCUAUAUAGUUUAAUAAAAACAUUAAUUUUGUAAAUUAAAAUUAAAUUAAAAUUUUAUAGCUU
rnacentral:tRNA from 1 species